GAUGAACGCUGGCGGCGUGCCUAAUACAUGCAAGUCGAGCGAACAGACGAGGAGCUUGCUCCUCUGACGUUAGCGGCGGACGGGUGAGUAACACGUGGAUAACCUACCUAUAAGACUGGGAUAACUUCGGGAAACCGGAGCUAAUACCGGAUAAUAUAUUGAACCGCAUGGUUCAAUAGUGAAAGACGGUUUUGCUGUCACUUAUAGAUGGAUCCGCGCCGCAUUAGCUAGUUGGUAAGGUAACGGCUUACCAAGGCAACGAUGCGUAGCCGACCUGAGAGGGUGAUCGGCCACACUGAAACUGAGACACGGUCCAGACUCCUACGGGAGGCAGCAGUAGGGAAUCUUCCGCAAGGGGCGAAAGCCGGACGGAGCAACGCCGCGUGAGUGAUGAAGUUCUUCGGAUCUGAAAACUCUGUUAUUAGGGAAGAACAAAUGUGUAAGUAACUAUGCACGUCUUGACGGUACCUAAUCAGAAAGCCACGGCUAACUACG
rnacentral:rRNA from 1 species